rnacentral:rRNA from 1 species
CCUACGGGUGGCUGCAGUGGGGAAUAUUGCACAAUGGGGGACACCCUGAUGCAGCAACGCCGCGUGAGUGAAGAAGUACUUCGGUAUGUAAAGCUCUAUCAGCAGGGAAGAAAAUGACGGUACCUGAUCAAGAAGCCCCGGCUAACUCCGUGCCAGCAGCCGCGGUAAUACGUAGGGGGCAAGCGUUAUCCGGAUUUACUGGGGGUAAAGGGAGCGUAGACGGGAGAGCAAGUCAGAAGUGAAAUUCCAGGGCUUAACCCUAGAACUGCAUUGGAAACUGGGAAGCUAGAGUGCAGGAGAGGUAGGUGGAAUUCGUAGUGUAGCGGUGAAAUGCGUAGAUAUUAGGAGGAACACCAGUGGCGAAGGCGGCUUACUAGACUGUAACUGACGUUGAGGCUCGAAAGCGUGGGGAGCAAACAGGAUUAGAUACCCCAGUAGUC